CCCCUGCACCGUGGAAAAGACCUUGAUAUCACUGCCUGCUCUGCUAUUGAAUUCUGCCUGAUUGGGCCACAAAAGCCCCCGUAUGAAGAGCUGCUGAAUAUAGAGGCAACACAUACACUAUACUGGUGGUGUAUUGAGUGUAGUGAUACAUCUGUGAUCACCUUGAGGACUUUAUGUGGGACCUCAGGGAGCAGCUCCUUCAGCUGAGACAGAGAGGCCCCCAGGAGCCACGGGACGGAUGCUCUCCUCAGCAUUAGCUGACUAACCAGAGGGUUCAUACAUGGGAACUGCAACAGACACUUUUCAGCCUGGAGGGAAAGAAAACAACAGCAAACUCAUAUUACAAAACCUUCAGAUCCUCAGACUUCAUGCCAAACAGGACCAGAGACGAAUAAACCAACACCAAGUUGCUGAAGGCUUCACUGGAAAACCUGCCAUCAGACAGAAGCAGUGACGACUGUUGCCCACGGUGACUGGCCUGGAUGGUCGUACUCCACCACCAGAGAGAAGCAGCUCCAGGGGAAGUCCGGCCCGACGUGCUGCUCAUACACCACCACACACACACUGUUGCGCAUGCUGGUGGAACAGCAGAAACAAUGACCUCUUACUCACUCACACAGUAUGGAGUGAUGCGAGGAACUUGGUUUUUACAUAAUGUUCAUCAAACUCAAACAAAAGAAAACUUUAAACAGCAUUUGCUGAACAUAUUUCAUCAGUGUUGAGAUGUAAACAGAACUACCACUAACGAUG